rnacentral:rRNA from 1 species
GACGAACGCUGGCGGCGUGCUUAACACAUGCAAGUCGAACGGAAAGGCCCUGCUUUUGUGGGGUGCUCGAGUGGCGAACGGGUGAGUAACACGUGAGUAACCUGCCCUUGACUUUGUGAUAACUUCAGGAAACUGGGGCUAAUACCGGAUAGGAGCUCCUGCUGCAUGGUGGGGGUUGGAAAGUUUCGGCGGUUGGGGAUGGACUCGCGGCUUAUCAGCUUGUUGGUGGGGUAGUGGCUUACCAAGGCUUUGACGGGUAGGCGGCCUGAGAGGGUGACCGGCCACAUUGGGACUGAGAUACGGCCCAGACGCCUACGGGAGGCAGCAGUGGGGAAUAUUGCACAAUGGGCGGAAGCCUGAUGCAGCAACGCCGCGUGCGGGAUGACGGCCUUCGGGUUGUAAACCGCUUUCGCCUGUGACGAAGCGUGAGUGACGGUAAUGGGUAAAGAAGCACCGGCUAACUACGUG